rnacentral:rRNA from 1 species
GCAUAUCAAUAAGCGGAGGAAAAGAAACUAACAAGGAUUCCCCUAGUAACGGCGAGUGAAGAGGGAAGAGCCCAAGAUUGGAAGCUGGCGUCUUCGGCGUCCGCAUUGUAAUCUCAAGAAGUGUUUUCCGCUUCGGACCAUGCCCAAGUCCUUUGGAAAAAGGCAUCAUAGAGGGUGAUAGUCCCGUCCAUGGCAUGGAGCGCCCGAAGCUUUGUGAUACGCUUUCUAAGAGUCGAGUUGUUUGGGAAUGCAGCUCAAAAUGGGUGGUAAAUGCCAUCUAAGGCUAAAUAUUGGGGAGAGACCGAUAGCGAACAAGUACAGUGAUGGAAAGAUGAAAAGCACUUUGAAAAGAGAGUUAAACAGUACGUGAAAUUGCCAAAAGGGAAGGGUAGGAGGUCAGAGAUGCGUCUUGGGAUUCAGCCUUGCAUUUGCUUGGUGUUUUUCCCAAGUUGCAGGCCAACGUCGGUUUUGGGCACUGGAGAAGGGUGGAAGGAACGUGGCACCCUUCGGGGUGUGUUAUAGCCUUCCACUGGAUACAGCGACCGAGACCGAGGACAGCAGCGUACUCGCAAGAGCGGGCCUUCGGGCACCUUUACGCUUAGGGCGUUGGCAUAAUGGCCGUCUACCACCCGUCUUGAAACACGGACCAAGGAGUCUAACAUGUAUGCGAGUCUUUGGGUGGCAAACCCAUCGGCGCAAUGAAAGUGAAUUCAGGUGGGAUCCGCAAGGUGCACCAUCGACCGAUCCUCACGUCUUUCAAGUCGUGGAUUUGAGUAAGAGCAUACCUGUUGGGACCCGAAAGAUGGUGAACUAUGCCUGAAUAGGGUGAAGCCAGAGGAAACUCUGGUGGAGGCUCGUAGCGGUUCUGACGUGCAAAUCGAUCGUCAAAUUUGGGUAUAGGGGCGAAAGACUAAUCGAACCAUCUAGUAGCUGGUUCCUGCGA